rnacentral:tRNA from 1 species
GGAGGAGUGGCAGAGCUGGUUUAAUGCACCGGUCUUGAAAACCGACGUACCCUUACCGGUACCGGGGGUUCGAAUCCCUCCUCCUCCGC